GAUGAAGAACGUAGCGAAAUGCGAUAAGUAAUGUGAAUUGCAGAAUUCAGUGAAUCAUCGAAUCUUUGAACGCACAUUGCGCCCCCUGGUAUUCCGGGGGGCAUGCCUGUUCGAGCGUCAUUUCACCACUCAAGCCUCGCUUGGUAUUGGGCAACGCGGUCCGCCGCGUGCCUCAAAUCGACCGGCUGGGUCUUCUGUCCCCUAAGCGUUGUGGAAACUUUCGCUAAAGGGUGUUCGGGAGGCUACGCCGUAAAAUAACCCCAUUUCUAAGGUUGACCUCGGAUCAGGUAGGGAUACCCGCUGAACUUAAGCAUAUCAAUAAGCGGAGGA
rnacentral:misc_RNA from 1 species